GUCAGCACCACGGACAGUGACUCACAAAGCAAACCUUCUAGUGUGGGUGCAUCCUGCCAGGAGAGCGAUGUCUUUGAAGGUCUUUAUCAACUCAUUCCCCUUCUCUUCCUAGCCUUCUACUUUUUUUUAGGUCAGUAUAAUUUUUGCCUUUUCAUAAUGGGUCCUUGUCACCGCCUCUGAAGAGGAUGAAGCCUGCAUAGGACUGGAGAGGGCCCGGUGAGAUCAGAAGAUUAGCCCUCAGCUAACAUCUGCUGCCAAGCUUCCUCCUUUUGCUGAGGAAGACUGGCCCUGAGCUAACAUCCGUGCCCAUCUUCCUCUACUUUGUAUGUGGGAUGGCUGCUACAGCAUGGCUUGCCAGGCAAUGCCAUGUCCUCGCCUGGGAUCUGAACCAGCGAACCCCGGGCCACCAAAGCAGAACAAAUGCACUUAACUGCUACACCACCGGGCCAGCUCUCAUUGUAAUUUUUAAAUUUUUGUUUCUUUUGCAAUGGGCAUAAAAAAAAAUUUUAAAGCUAC
rnacentral:lncRNA from 1 species